rnacentral:rRNA from 1 species
AUUGAACGCUGGCGGCAGGCCUAACACAUGCAAGUCGAGCGAGUGGCGCGCGGGUGAAUAGUGUCUGGAAAACUGCCUGGGGGAGGGGUAUCACUACUGAAAGCUGUAGCUAAUACCGCAUACCCUCGGAUGUGCCCAUAUGGGAUUAGCUAGUAGGUGGGGUAAAGGCUCACCUAGGCGACGAUCCCUAGCUGGUCUGAGAGGAUGACCAGCCACACUGGAACUGAGACACGGUCCAGACUCCUACGGGAGGCAGCAGUGGGGAAUAUUGCACAAUGGGCGCAAGCCUGAUGCAGCCAUGCCGCGUGUAUGAAGAAGGCCUUCGGGUUGUAAAGUACUUUCAGCGGGGAGGCGUUACCCGCAGAAGAAGCACCGGCUAACUCCGUGCCAGCAGCCGCGGUAAUAC